rnacentral:rRNA from 1 species
UACGUAGGGUGCGAGCGUUAAUCGGAAUUACUGGGCGUAAAGCGUGCGCAGGCGGUUCGUGAUGUCUGGUGUGAAAGCCCCGGGCUUAACCUGGGAAUUGCAUUGGAAACUAGCGGGCUGGAGUGUGGCAGAGGGGGGUGGAAUUCCACGUGUAGCAGUGAAAUGCGUAGAGAUGUGGAGGAACACCGAUGGCGAAGGCAGAUCUCUGGGCCGUAACUGACGCUGAGGAGCGAAAGCAUGGGGAGCGAACAGG